rnacentral:rRNA from 1 species
UUUCCGUAGGUGAACCUGCGGAAGGAUCAUUAAAGAGAUAGGGUCUUCAUGGCCCGACCUCCAACCCUCUGUUGUUAAAACUACCUUGUUGCUUUGGCGGGACCGUCUCGGUCUCCGAGCGCACUAACCCUCGGGUUGGUGAGCGCCCGCCAGAGUCCAACCAAACUCUUGUAUUAAACCAGUCGUCUGAGUAUAAAAUUUUAAUUAAAUUAAAACUUUCAACAACGGAUCUCUUGGUUCUCGCAUCGAUGAAGAACGCAGCGAAAUGCGAUAAGUAAUGUGAAUUGCAGAAUUCAGUGAAUCAUCGAAUCUUUGAACGCACAUUGCGCCCCUUGGUAUUCCGAGGGGCAUGCCUGUUCGAGCGUCAUUACACCACUCAAGCAUCGCUUGGUAUUGGGAACGGUCCGUCGAAAGGCGGGCCUUCCUCGAAGACCUCGGCGGGGUUCAACCAACUUCGGGCGUAGUAGAGUUAAAUCGAACGUCUUAUAAGCUUGGUCGGAUCUCAUUGCCGUUAAACCUUUAAAUUUUCUAGGUUGACCUCGGAUCAGGUAGGGAUACCCGCUGAACUUAAGCAUAUCAAU